rnacentral:rRNA from 1 species
ACCCGCUGAACUUAAGCAUAUCAAUAAGCGGAGGAAAAGAAACCAACAGGGAUUGCCUUAGUAACUGCGAGUGAAGCGGCAAAAGCUCAAAUUUGAAAUCUGACGUCUUUGAUGUCCGAGUUGUAAUUUGGAGGGAUAUCUUCGGGGUUGGCGUCGUCCUAAGUUUUCUUCGAACAGGACAUCAUAGAGGGUGAGAAUCCCGUGCCUAGACGGCUGUCCAACUCCAUGUGAAGUGUCUCCGACGAGUCGAGUUGUUUGGGAAUGCAGCUCAAAAUGGGUGGUAAAUUUCAUCUAAAGCUAAAUAUUGGCGAGAGACCGAUAGCGCACAAGUAGAGUGAUCGAAAGAUGAAAAGCACUUUGAAAAGAGAGUUAAAAAGUACGUGAAAUUGUUGAAAGGGAAGCGCUUGCGACCAGACUUGAUCUUUGGUGAUCAGCCGGACUUCGGUUUGGUGCCCUUGCCAUCGAUUGGGCCAGCAUCGGUUCUGACGGCGGGAUAAAAGGAGGAGGAAUGUGGCUCCCUUUGGGGAGUGUUAUAGCCACCUGCACAAUGCCGCCAGUUGGGACCGAGGACCGCGCUUCGGCUAGGAUGCUGGCGUAAUGGUCUUAAGCGACCCGUCUUGAAACACGG